rnacentral:rRNA from 1 species
GCAGUCGACGGGAUACCAAGGUAGCAAUACCGGAGGUAUCUAGUGGCGAACGGGUGCGUAACACGUGAGGAACCUGCCCGAGAGUCGGGGAUAACACCGGGAAACCGGUGCUAAUACCGGAUACCCUCACCACCUCGCAUGGGGAGGUGAGGAAAGAUUUAUCGCUCUCGGAGGGCCUCGCGGCCUAUCAGCUUGUUGGCGGGGUAACGGCCCACCAAGGCUACGACGGGUAGCUGGUCUGAGAGGACGAUCAGCCACACUGGGACUGAGACACGGCCCAGACUCCUACGGGAGGCAGCAGUGGGGAAUAUUGCGCAAUGGGCGAAAGCCUGACGCAGCAACGCCGCGUGGAGGAUGAAGGCUCUUGGGUUGUAAACUCCUUUCAGCAGGGACGAAACUGACGGUACCUGCAGAAGAAGCCCCGGCCAACUACGUGCCAGCAGCCGCGGUGAGACGUAGGGGGCGAGCGUUGUCCGGAUUUAUUGGGCGUAAAGAGCUCGUAGGCGGCUUGGCAAGUCGGAUGUGAAAUCUCCAGGCUUAACCUGGAGUCGCCAUCUGAUACUGCCAUGGCUAGAGUCCGGUAGAGGAUCGUGGAAUUCCUGGUGUAGCGGU